rnacentral:rRNA from 1 species
UGGGGAAUAUUGGUCAAUGGGCGCAAGCCUGAUCCAGCCAUGCCGCGUGAGUGAUGAAGGCCCUAGGGUUGUAAAGCUCUUUCACCGGUGAAGAUAAUGACGGUAACCGGAGAAGAAGCCCCGGCUAACUUCGUGCCAGCAGCCGCGGUAAUACGAAGGGGGCUAGCGUUGUUCGGAUUUACUGGGCGUAAAGCGCACGUAGGCGGACUUUUAAGUCAGGGGUGAAAUCCCGGGGCUCAACCCCGGAACUGCCUUUGAUACUGGAAGUCUUGAGUAUGGUAGAGGUGAGUGGAAUUCCGAGUGUAGAGGUGAAAUUCGUAGAUAUUCGGAGGAACACCAGUGGCGAAGGCGGCUCACUGGACCAUUACUGACGCUGAGGUGCGAAAGCGUGGGGAGCAAACAGG